rnacentral:pre_miRNA from 1 species
CUCUACUUUAACAUGGAGGCACUUGCUGUGGUAUGACAAAAAUAAGUGCUUCCAUGUUUGAGUGUGG